UAGGGAAUCUUCCACAAUGGACGCAAGUCUGAUGGAGCAACGCCGCGUGAGUGAAGAAGGUUUUCGGAUCGUAAAGCUCUGUUGUUGGUGAAGAAGGAUAGAGGCAGUAACUGGUCUUUAUUUGACGGUAAUCAACCAGAAAGUCACGGCUAACUACGUGCCAGCAGCCGCGGUAAUACGUAGGUGGCAAGCGUUGUCCGGAUUUAUUGGGCGUAAAGCGAGCGCAGGCGGAAUGAUAAGUCUGAUGUGAAAGCCCACGGCUCAACCGGGGAACUGCGUCGGAAACUGUCAUUCUUGAGUGCAGAAGAGGAGAGUGGAAUUCCAUGUGUAGCGGUGGAAUGCGUAGAUAUAUGGAAGAACACCAGUGGCGAAGGCGGCUCUCUGGGCUGCAACUGACGCUGAGGCUCGAAAGCAUGGGUAGCGAACAGG
rnacentral:rRNA from 1 species